rnacentral:rRNA from 1 species
GUGCCAGCCGCCGCGGUAAUACGGAGGGUGCAAGCGUUAAUCGGAAUUACUGGGCGUAAAGCGCACGCAGGCGGUCUGUCAAGUCGGAUGUGAAAUCCCCGGGCUCAACCUGGGAACUGCAUUCGAAACUGGCAGGCUAGAGUCUUGUAGAGGGGGGUAGAAUUCCAGGUGUAGCGGUGAAAUGCGUAGAGAUCUGGAGGAAUACCGGGUGGCGAAGGCGGCCCCCUGGACAAAGACUGACGCUCAGGUGCGAAAGCGUGGGGAGCAAACAGGAUUAGAUACCCUGGUAGUCCACGCCGUAAACGAUGUCGACUUGGAGGUUGUGCCCUUGAGCGUGGCUUCCGGAGCUAACGCGUUAAGUCGACCGCCUGGGGAGUACGGCCGCAAGGUUAAAACUCAAAUGAAUUGACGGGGGCCCGCACAAGCGGUGGAGCAUGUGGUUUAAUUCGAUGCAACGCGAAGAACCUUACCUACUCUUGACAUCCAGAGAACUUAGCAGAGAUGC